CUAGAACAUCCGUAGCUUGCUAGGUAAGUCUCAUGUGAAAUCUGGCAUCUCAAGUGUCGGGCGAGCAUGAGAUACUACUUGGCUAGGGACCGGGAGACGUAAGGAGUACAGCUCGGGUAGCGGUAAAAUGCGUUGAUCCUUGCUGGACUAACAAUAGCGAAGGCACCUUACGAGAACGGAUCCGACAGUGAGGGAUGAAGGCUAGGGGCGCAAAACGGAUUAGAUACCCGUGUAGUCCUAGCAGUAAACACUGCACACUAAACAUUGGUGCCUCCUCGAGAGGCAUCAGUGCUGUAGGGAAGCCGUAGAGUGUGCUACCUGGGAAGUAUAGUCGCAAGGCCGAAACUUAAAGGAAUAGGCGGGGGGGUACUACAACCAGUGACGCGUGCGGUUCAAUUAGAUUCUACACCGUGAACCUCACCAGGAUCGACAGCAGAAUGAAGGCCAGUCUAAAGGGCUUACCUAACGCGCUGAGAGGGGAUGCAUGGCCGACGUCAGCCUGUGUCGUGAGAUGACCUGUUAAAUCAGGUAACAGGCGAGACCCGUGUGCAUAUUUAC
rnacentral:rRNA from 1 species